ensembl:lncRNA
GGGAGAGUAAGAUAAAUAUUAUGAGAGCGAUAGAGAAUAAGAGAGGGACAAAAGUAAAGAGAGAGUAAGAGAUAGAAAGUGUGUGUGAGAGAAAGAGUCUGAGAGAGGAAGUGGAAGAGAGAGAGACCUAGGAGGUGCAGCAGAAGUUGUGUGAUUGUAUCAGUGUGUCCCAAAACAACAGUACUCUGAGGCUGAAGCAGAGCAGCAGGUUCUAUCAUCUGUCAGGCAACAGUCUGCAGGUUACGUGUUCUUCGUGUUCUUCCUACAAUAAAGAGGAAUGUAUUCUAACCACACUGCGCUUUGGUCCACUCCACACGACGAUCGUAACAGAAUAACCCACCAACCAAGGACCAAACAACGUGGUAACGGGCAGCAGCAGCAAUCAAAGGACUUCUGGACUUGGGAGGAGAUUCUGGACGGCAAAGGACUCUGGGCACAGUCAGGGGAAUAUCGCCGUCCCAAAGCAGAGCUGGAGGCAGCGAAAGCAGAGAGGCGCUGGUAUGAGGAGGCAGCAUGGCGGCGCGGCUGGAAGCCCGAGUGGCAGCCCCAAAAAUGUAUUGGGGGAGGGCACACGGGGAGUGUGGCGAAGUCAGGUAGGAGACCUGCGCCAGCUCCCCGUGCUUUCCGUGGAGAGAGAGGGCGUUGUACCGGGCAGGCAACGUGUUAUGCGGUGGAGCGCACGGUGUCCCCGGUGCGUUUGCAUAGCCCGGUGCGGUAUAUUCCAGCUUCUCGUAUCGGCCGGGCUAGAGUGGGCAUCGAGCCAGGUGCCAUGAAGCCGGCUCUGCGCAUCUGGUCUCCAGUGCGUCUCCUCGGACCAGCAUACAUGGCACCAGCCUUACGCAUGGUGUCCCCGGUUUGCCUGCACAGCCCAGUGCGGGCUAUUCCACCACGCUGCACUGGCCUGGCUACGGGGAGCAUUCAACCAGGUAAGCUUGGUGCUCCAGAUCUCCAGUGCGCCUUCUUGGUCCGGUCUAUCCGGUGCCAUCUCCACGCACCAGCCCUCCAGUGGCAGCCCCCCGUACCGGGCUUCCUGUGCGUCGCCAGAGCCCAGUUCUCCCUGUUCUUCGUCCCUGCACUCGCCCUGAGGUGCGUGACCUUGGCCAGUACCACCAGUGCCGGCACCACGCACCAGGCCUACAGUGCACCCGUCUGUCCAGUCUCCCGUCUGUCCUGAGCCGCCAGAGUCUCCCGUCUGUCCUGAGCCGCCAGAGCCGCCCGUCUGUCCUGAGCCGCCAGAGCCGCCCGUCUGUCCUGAGCCGCCAGAGCCGCC